CUAGGGCGUGUUACCCCCCAGUGGUGUGGCCUUUUCUUUUUUUCUUUUUCUUCUUCUUCUUUUUCUUUCCUCCUCUUCCUCCUCCACCUCCUCCUCUUCCUCUUCUACCUCCUCCUCUUUCUUCUCUACCUCCUCCUCUUCCUCCUCCAUCUCCUCCUCUUCCUCUUCCACCUCCUCCUCCUCCUCUUCUUCCUCUACCUCCUCCUCUUCCUCCUCCACCUCCUCCUCCUCCUCUUCCUCUUCCACCUCCUCCUCUUCCUCCUCCACCUCCUCCUCUUCCUGCUCCACCUCCUCCUCUUUCUCCUCCACCUUCUCCUCUUCCUCUUCCUCUUCCACCUCCUCCUCUUCCUCUUCCACCUCCUCCUCUUCCUCCUCCACCUCCUCCUCUUCCUUCUCCACCUCCUCCUCUUCCUCCUCCACCUCCUCCUCUUCCUCCUUCACCUCCUCCUCUUCCUCUUCCACCUCCUCCUCUUCCUCCUCUCACUUCUCCUCCUCCUUUUUUUUUUUGACAAAGUCUCACAUAGCCCAGACUGUCCUUGAACUCCCUAUGAAUCCAGCGAUGACCUUGAACUUCUGAUCCUCCUGCCUCCACCUCCCAAGUGCUAGGAUUACAAGUGUGCACAACCAUGCCUGGUUUGCACCACGGUGGGAACUGAACUCAGAGCAAGCGCCGUAUUAACUGAGCUAUAGCUGGCCCUCACUGGCCCUCCUUGGCUUUAAUGCUCAGAUAACCAGCAGCUUACAAGGUACAUUCACAAGGUUCUGCGGUAGUGGCUUGAUCUGUUGGUUGUAAAAUUUCUUGUGAGAAAUUCAGCACCUAGCAUGAACAUGUGAAGUUGGCCUUUAAAAUAAAUAAAUAAAUAAAUAAAUAAAUAAAUAAAUAAAUAAAUAAAUAAGUUCCGUCCGUUCCAUCUUUGUUUAGUUAAGUCCCAUAAAGACUUCAGUGUUUGGCACUGGGGAGGGGUUUCCUCCCGUACUCGCCCACGUACAAGGAGCAUGCGUUUGAAUAUGAAAUUAAUAGUAUGUGUGUGGCUUAGAAACCCACCUUGCCAUUAACCACCAGUGCACGCAUGGCAGUCCCGAGUGUGUUCUUGUGCCAGAUCAAGCCGUGAGGUUGUGGAGCAGUGUAGAGGAAGUGGGAUUGGGGUGACAUGGUAGUAAAAGGUGAUGCUGGCUGGGUGGGGGUGUGUAAGGGUGAGUGGAGGAAUGAGGCAGAGGCCACCCCUCAGCAGAUG
rnacentral:lncRNA from 1 species